GACUCCCUCCUUCCCUUUCCCUCCAUCUCUAGCUCCAGAGAGAGAGAGAGAGAGAGAGAGAGAGAGAGGGGAUGGCCUCCACGUCGGCUCCUCGCGCGCAUAGUUCCGCCGCCGGGAGAAUCGCCACGGCCGUCUCCAACCUCGCGUCCGACAACCAAUCCCUCAUCGUGGAUAUCCGAAAAUCCCUGGCCAUGAUCAAGGGCAUCGCGGUGGACCUCGAGAAGGACCAGCAAUCCGACAAGGUGAAGGAAUUGGAAGCCACAGUCUUGGAGCUUCUGGAGGCGUACAAUGACUGCACCUACUUCUCCGAGGCGAUCCAAUCCAUACGGAGCUUGUAUCAGCCUUCAGAUCAGCCCACCCAUUUCAAGAAGUUGUUGGAGGAUGAGGUUGCUAAGCUGAAGGAAACAUCGCCAUUUUCACCAAAUAAUCCACUCUAUCGGCAGUUCAAGGAAGCCAUCUGGAAUGUUCAUCAUGCAGGUCAACCAAUGCCUGGGGAAGAGCAGGAAGAUAUCAUUAUGACCAGUACACAGACUAAUCUACUUAAUAUCACAUGCCCAUUAACUGGAAAGCCUGUUAUUGAAUUGCAAAGUCCAGUUCGCUGUAUGGAUUGCAAGCACAUUUAUGAAAAAGAUCCAAUAUUGCAUUACAUAAGAACGAAGAAACCACAUCCUCGAUGCCCAGUUGCAGGCUGCCCCAAAAUUUUGCAGUCGGAAAGGGUGGUUUGUGACCCUUUGCUUUCCAUUGAAAUCGAGGAGAUGCGCUCAACAGAGAAUGUGACAUUACAGCCUAUGGUGGUGGAAGAUUUCACUGAAGUUGAUGAUGAAUGAAUUGAGGCACCAAGAGCGCACAUUAAUCUGAAUUUGCAUAAAAUAUUAUGGCAUCUUAAAUGCUGACACUAUCCAAUUGCUGUUUGUAUGGGACUUGAACGAUCAACAAGCUUGAAAACCCUCAUACAAAAAGAGUGUCAAUUAUCAAUAAAAGAAAUACUACAAUAGCAUCAAGUGGGAGAUGACGCUGGUAGGGAUGAGUGUUUUGGUAUUGGAUGCACAUUGUUUUACCUUGGUUGUCACUCAAUCUGUAGUUUGUAGUGUUUAUGGUUCAGAUGAAGUGGGAACCAUGGAAAGAUGGAACUGAAGGCAAAAGGUUAAAUCUUGCUACUCUAUUCCUAUCGGUGUUGUGCUUUGAGAAUGGUCUAAGCCAAUGCCCAGCUGCCGCAUAGAACUCGGGAAUUGAGCGGGCAGUGGUACAGAAAUCGUGAACAUCUGUGUGCACGUGGGUGAAUGGUAGGUAUCUCUAUGCCAUGCAAGCUAUAAGCUUCCCAUGGGAUGUUGCACAUUGAGGGUUUUCAGGUCGUUCA